rnacentral:rRNA from 1 species
GGGGUCCGAUUCAGCCAUGCUAGUUGUACGGGUUUAGACCCGUAGCAAAUAGCUCCGUAACACGUGGUCAAACUACCCUCUGGAUCGGGAUACCCUCGGGAAACUGAGGCUAAUCCCGGAUACUGCUUUCUUGUUGGAACACAGAAAGUCGGAAACGGUCCGCCGCCGGAGGACGUGACUGCGGCCGAUUAGGUAGACGGUGGGGUAACGGCCCACCGUGCCGAUAAUCGGUACGGGUUGUGAGAGCAAGAACCCGGAGACGGUAUCUGAGACAAGAUACCGGGCCCUACGGGGCGCAGCAGGCGCGAAACCUUUACACUGCACGCCAGUGCGAUAAGGGGACCCCGAGUGCGAGGGCAUACAGUCCUCGCUUUUCGUGACCGUAAGAAGGUCUCAGAAUAAGAGCUGGGCAAGACCGGUGCCAGCCGCCGCGGUAAUACCGGCAGCUCGAGUGAUAGCCACUAUUAUUGGGCCUAAAGCGUCCGUAGCCGGCCGAACAGGUCCGUCGGGAAAUCCACCCGCUCAACGGGUGGACGUCCGGCGGAAACCAGUCGGCUUGGGGCCGGGAGACCAGAGAGGUACGUCCGGGGUAGGAGUGAAAUCCCGUAAUCCUGGACGGACCGCCGGUAGCGAAAGCGUCUCUGGAGAACGGACCCGACGGUGAGGGACGAAAGCUUGGGUCUCGAACCGGAUUAGAUACCCGGGUAGUCCAAGCUGUAAACGAUGCUCGCUAGGUGUGGCGUUGGCUACGAGCCAGCGCUGUGCCGUAGGGAAGCCGAGAAGCGAGCCGCCUGGGAAGUACGUCCGCAAGGAUGAA